GAGGGGAUAGCUUAAGUGGUAGAGCACAUGCUUAGCAUGCAUGAGGUCCUGGGUUCAGUUCCCACUACUUCCA
rfam:Camelus ferus unplaced genomic scaffold scaffold775, whole genome shotgun sequence.